UACGGAGGGAGCUAGCGUUAUUCGGAAUUACUGGGCGUAAAGCGCACGUAGGCGGCUUUGUAAGUAAGAUGUGAAAGCCUGGUGCUCAACACCAGAACUGCCUUUUAGACUGCAUCGCUUGAAUCCAGGAGAGGUGAGUGGAAUUCCGAGUGUAGAGGUGAAAUUCGUAGAUAUUCGGAAGAACACCAGUGGCGAAGGCGGCUCACUGGACUGGUAUUGACGCUGAGGUGCGAAAGCGUGGGGAGCAAACAGG
rnacentral:rRNA from 1 species